CAAGCGCGGCCAGAGUGGGCUGAGGCCGAGGAGGCGCCGAGAGCCAGCGGGGGAUGCCAGCAAGCUGUCACCUCUCAGAAAUACAGGAAGAACAUCAAUAAUGUUCGAAGUUAUAAAUUGCGGAGGUCAGAAGUCAGAAAACAAGGUGUCUGCAGGACCAACCUCUCCUCUGGAUGCUCUAGGUGUUGAAAUUUCCAGGAUGCAAAACGAAGGGGCAAUUCAAAACAUUCAUCUCCACUUCUCAACAAUACACAGAGUCACAUGGAUGAAAGAACCCAAGAAAUCAAAUAGCAUCUGGUGACAUUCAACAGUCAUAAUUUAGUGCAUUUUCAGAAGCUACCUAAGACUCAGAUGUUCAUAUUG
rnacentral:lncRNA from 1 species